rnacentral:rRNA from 1 species
UGGGGAAUCUUCCGCAAUGGGCGAAAGCCUGACGGAGCAAUGCCGCGUGAGUGAUGAAGGAAUUCGUUCCGUAAAGCUCUUUUGUUUAUGACGAAUGUGCAGACUGUGAAUAAUGGUUUGUAAUGACGGUAGUAAACGAAUAAGCCACGGCUAACUACGUGCCAGCAGCCGCGGUAAUACGUAGGUGGCGAGCGUUGUCCGGAAUUAUUGGGCGUAAAGAGCAUGUAGGCGGUUUUUUAAGUCCGGAGUGAAAAUGCGGGGCUCAACCCCGUAUGGCUCUGGAUACUGGAAGACUUGAGUGCAGGAGAGGAAAGGGGAAUUCCCAGUGUAGCGGUGAAAUGCGUAGAUAUUGGGAGGAACACCAGUGGCGAAGGCGCCUUUCUGGACUGUGUCUGACGCUGAGAUGCGAAAGCCAGGGUAGCGAACGGGAUUAGAUACCCUGGUAGU